UACGUAGGUGGCGAGCGUUGUCCGGAAUUACUGGGUGUAAAGCGCGUGUAGGCGGGAGGCCAAGUCUGCGGUGAAAUCGCUCGGCUUAACCGGGGAACUGCAUCUGAUACUGGAUGGCUUGAGUUCGGGAGAGGGAUGCGGAAUUCCAGGUGUAGCGGUGAAAUGCGUAGAUAUCUGGAGGAACACCGGUGGCGAAGGCGGCAUCCUGGACCGACACUGACGCUGAGGCACGAAAGCGUGGGGAGCAAACAGG
rnacentral:rRNA from 1 species